rnacentral:rRNA from 1 species
GAUGAACGCUGGCGGCGUGCCUAAUACAUGCAAGUCGAGCGAACAGACGAGGAGCUUGCUCCUCUGACGUUAGCGGCGGACGGGUGAGUAACACGUGGAUAACCUACCUAUAAGACUGGGAUAACUUCGGGAAACCGGAGCUAAUACCGGAUAAUAUAUUGAACCGCAUGGUUCAAUAGUGAAAGACGGUUUUGCUGUCACUUAUAGAUGGAUCCGCGCCGGAUUAGCUAGUUGGUAAGGUAACGGCUUACCAAGGCAACGAUGCGUAGCCGACCUGAGAGGGUGAUCGGCCACACUGGAACUGAGACACGGUCCAGACUCCUACGGGAGGCAGCAGUAGGGAAUCUUCCGCAAUGGGCGAAAGCCUGACGGAGCAACGCCGCGUGCGUGAUGAAGGUCUUCGGAUCGUAAAACUCUGUUAUUAGGGAAGAACAAAUGUGUAAGUAACUAUGCACGUCUUGACGGUACCUAAUCAGAAAGCCACGGCUAACUACGUG